GACAGUUUGCAUUCUGGAUAAUAGUGAUGUUCGUUCCUGAUGACUUAGCAAAUAAACCCAUCUUCAAGGCACUGAUUUCAUGGCAGAAGGAAGCGCAAACAAACUUCAGUGCAGUUCUACGGCUUUGUACUAUAAUUCUGGUGAGGAAAAGCAUGUAUAAGUCUGACGAAGAGCCACACAGAGGCAAGACAAAUGACAGGCAUAGAGUAACAGAUGCCUUUGAGUGUAUUACAAGGAAAAGUCACUUUCCAGAAGUUUCCAUGACCACCAUCAUCUGAUUAUCCGCUGCAGGAACCUGCUUUCCUGACAAAACUCAAUCUGAGGUGUGAAAAAGGAUGCUAGGCAAUACAGGUAUUUAGCUGGACAGGUUGGGCCUUCCGCUGAAUGAAGAUCCCGGUAGAGCAGAAAUACCACCGCUAAGAAUUGUUGGCUAACCAAAAGAGUGCUG